ACAGGAACAUUGUUUGAGACUUUUAUACCUUCUACAGCCGAAGCAGGAGGAGGAGCCAUAUAUACUGAUGGAGCAGGAGUUCUCUUAUAAUUCUUCCCAUGAUGCCAUUGAAAUGAAGAAGGUUGAGAUGCAGGGGAGUUGGAGCCUGAAACUACAGGAGCAUUGAGGGAUGGAAGAGGAGAUGGAGCAUUAUCGGAAUUCCCCAUAUUAUCAUGAACAGAUGGAGCUAAGACAAAGUAAAAAAUCAUUUUCAGGGUUUCAUAGCAAACCAGCAAUUUUAAUACCUGGGUUUAGGGGUGGAGGAGCAUGGAACCUAAAGUCAGUCUUCGGGUCUGAGCUUGAAUUAUCUGGAGGAGCUAAUUUGUGGGCCAACAUUUACAACAAAUUGAGAAGAAAUAAUAGAUGAUAGGUAGGAAUUAAAAAUCAGGACAGGAACAUUGUUUGAGACUUUUAUACCUUCUACAGCCAAAGCAGGAGGAUGAGCCAUAUAUACUGAUGGAGCAGGAGUUCUCUUAUAAUUCUUCCCAUGAUGCCAUUGAAAUGAAGAAGGUUGAGAUGCAGGGGAGUUGGACCCUGAAACUACAGGAGCAUUGCGGGAUGGAAGAGGAGAUGGAGCAUUAUCGGAAUUCCCCAUAUUAUCAUG
rnacentral:lncRNA from 1 species